UACAGAGGGUGCAAGCGUUAAUCGGAAUUACUGGGCGUAAAGGGUGCGUAGGUGGUUUAAUAAGUUGGGUGUGAAAGUCCUGAGCUUAACUUGGGGAUUGCGCUUAAUACUGUUGAGCUAGAGUACUGUAGAGGAAGGUGGAAUUUCCAGUGUAGCGGUGAAAUGCGUAGAUAUUGGAAGGAACAUCAGUGGCGAAAGGCGACUUUCUGGACAGAUACUGACACUGAGGCACGAAAGCAUGGGGAGCAAACAGG
rnacentral:rRNA from 1 species